CCUACGGGAGGCAGCAGUGGGGAAUAUUGCGCAAUGGACGAAAGUCUGACGCAGCAACGCCGCGUGAGGGAUGAAGUACAUCGAGAUGUAAACCUCUUUCAGCAGGGACGAAGCGAAAGUGACGGUACCUGCAGAAGAAGCACCGGCUAACUACGUGCCAGCAGCCGCGGUAAUACGUAGGGUGCAAGCGUUGUCCGGAUUUAUUGGGCGUAAAGGGCUCGUAGGCGGUCUGUCGCGUCGGAUGUGAAAACUCGGAGCUUAACUCCGGGCCUGCAUUCGAUACGGGCAGACUAGAGUUCGGUAGGGGAGACUGGAAUUUCUGGUGUAGCGGUGGAAUGCGCAGAUAUCAGGAAGAACACCGAUGGCGAAGGCAGGUCUCUGGGCCGAUACUGACGCUGAGGAGCGAAAGCAUGGGGAGCGAACAGGAUUAGAUACCCUGGUAGUCCAUGCCGUAAACGGUGGGCGCUAGGUGUGGGGAAUCAUCUACAUUCUCCGCGCCGCAGCUAACGCAUUAAGCGCCCCGCCUGGGGAGUACGGCCGCAAGGCUAAAACUCAAAGGAAUUGACGGGG
rnacentral:rRNA from 1 species